rnacentral:rRNA from 1 species
AUGGCGACCGGCGCACGGGUGAGUAACACGUAUCCAACCUGCCGAUGACUCGGGGAUAGCCUUCGAAAGAAAGAUUAAUACCCGAUGGCAUAGUUCUUCCGCAUGGUAGAACUAUUAAAGAAUUUCGGUCAUCGAUGGGGAUGCGUUCCAUUAGGUUGUUGGCGGGGUAACGGCCCACCAAGCCUUCGAUGGAUAGGGGUUCUGAGAGGAAGGUCCCCCACAUUGGAACUGAGACACGGUCCAA